rnacentral:rRNA from 1 species
AGAACAAUGUACAACUCUUAUCGAUAAGCCAUUGGAGGGCAAGUCUGGUGCCAGCAGCCGCGGUAAUUCCAGCUCCAAUAGCGUAUAUUAACGUUGUUGCAGUUAAAAAGCUCGUAGUUGAAGUGUGGGUGAUCGCUGUUGUGAGACUUCGGUCUCUCGACAGUAAGUCACCCCCUUCCAGUAUCCAGUAGUGGGUAUUCAGUUACUUACUAUUGUGUGUUGGUCGUUUACUGUGAGAAAAUUAGAGUGUUCAAAGCAGGCGUUUGCUUGAAUAGAUUAGCAUGGAAUAAUAAUUGAAGGCUUUCGUGUUCGAUUUGAUUGGUUUGUUCAUGGAAGCAAGGUUAAAAGGAACAGUUGGGGGUAUUCAUAU